rnacentral:rRNA from 1 species
CGAAGGUACCGUCAAAAGAAGGGUUGUUAAAAUAUAUAUAUAUAUAUAUAUAUUUUUUUAUUUAUUUUAUUUUUUUUAAAUUGGGGUAGCCCCCAAAAUACUGUAUUACUAUAAAAAAGACAACUCUGUUCUGCAGAGUAGCUGUUGACAUUAUAGUUGCGUUGGAACUUUGUUGACUCUAGAGAACCUCGGGCAAAUCACACAUCCCUGUGGCGGCGAUUUGCAUGCAGAUGUCAUCCAUAUCAACUUUCGAUGCCAGUUUCUGCGCCUACCAUGGUGACCACGGGUAACGGGGAAUCAGGGUUCCAUUCCGUACAGGGACCCUGAGAAACGGCUACCACAUGCAAGGAAGGCAGCAGGCGCGCAAAUGACCCACUCCCGACGCGGGAAGGUGGUGACG